UUGACCUCGGAUCAGGUAGGGAUACCCGCUGAACUUAAGCA
rnacentral:rRNA from 83 species